rnacentral:rRNA from 1 species
GACGAACGCUGGCGGCGUGCUUAACACAUGCAAGUCGAACGGAAAGGCCCUGCUUGCCGGGUACUCGAGUGGCGAACGGGUGAGUAACACGUGGGUGAUCUGCCCUGCACUUCGGGAUAAGCCUGGGGAACUGGGUCUAAUACCGGAUAGGAGCCAUUUUUAGUGUGAUGGUUGGAAAGUUUUUUCGGUGUAGGAUGAGCUCGCGGCCUAUCAGCUUGUUGGUGGGGUAAUGGCCUACCAAGGCGGCGACGGGUAGCCGGCCUGAGAGGGUGGACGGCCACAUUGGGACUGAGAUACGGCCCAGACUCCUACGGGAGGCAGCAGUGGGGAAUAUUGCGCAAUGGGCGCAAGCCUGAUGCAGCGACGCCGCGUGGGGGAUGACGGCCUUCGGGUUGUAAACUCCUUUCGCUAGGGACGAAGCUUUUUGGGACGGGACCUAGAUAAGAAGCACCGGCGAACUACGG